AUUGAACGCUGGCGGCAGGCCUAACACAUGCAAGUCGAGCGGUAGCACAGAGAGCUUGCUCUCGGGUGACGAGCGGCGGACGGGUGAGUAAUGUCUGGGAAACUGCCUGAUGGAGGGGGAUAACUACUGGAAACGGUAGCUAAUACCGCAUAACGUCGCAAGACCAAAGUGGGGGACCUUCGGGCCUCAUGCCAUCAGAUGUGCCCAGAUGGGAUUAGCUAGUAGGUGGGGUAAUGGCUCACCUAGGCGACGAUCCCUAGCUGGUCUGAGAGGAUGACCAGCCACACUGGAACUGAGACACGGUCCAGACUCCUACGGGAGGCAGCAGUGGGGAAUAUUGCACAAUGGGCGCAAGCCUGAUGCAGCCAUGCCGCGUGUGUGAAGAAGGCCUUCGGGUUGUAAAGCACUUUCAGCGGGGAGGAAGGCGAUAAGGUUAAUAACCUUGUCGAUUGACGUUACCCGCAGAAGAAGCACCGGCUAACUCCGUGCCAGCAGCCGCGGUAAUACGGAGGGUGCAAGCGUUAAUCGGAAUUACUGGGCGUAAAGCGCACGCAGGCGGUCUGUCAAGUCGGAUGUGAAAUCCCCGGGCUCAACCUGGGAACUGCAUUCGAAACUGGCAGGCUAGAGUCUUGUAGAGGGGGGUAGAAUUCCAGGUGUAGCGGUGAAAUGCGUAGAGAUCUGGAGGAAUACCGGUGGCGAAGGCGGCCCCCUGGACAAAGACUGACGCUCAGGUGCGAAAGCGUGGGGAGCAAACAGGAUUAGAUACCCUGGUAGUCCACGCCGUAAACGAUGUCGAUUUGGAGGUUGUGCCCUUGAGGCGUGGCUUCCGGAGCUAACGCGUUAAAUCGACCGCCUGGGGAGUACGGCCGCAAGGUUAAAACUCAAAUGAAUUGACGGGGGCCCGCACAAGCGGUGGAGCAUGUGGUUUAAUUCGAUGCAACGCGAAGAACCUUACCUGGUCUUGACAUCCACAGAACUUUCCAGAGAUGGAUUGGUGCCUUCGGGAACUGUGAGACAGGUGCUGCAUGGCUGUCGUCAGCUUGUGUUGUGAAAUGUUGGGUUAAGUCCCGCAACGAGCGCAACCCUUAUCCUUUGUUGCCAGCGGUUAGGCCGGGAACUCAAAGGAGACUGCCAGUGAUAAACUGGAGGAAGGUGGGGAUGACGUCAAGUCAUCAUGGCCCUUACGACCAGGGCUACACACGUGCUACAAUGGCAUAUACAAAGAGAAGCGACCUCGCGAGAGCAAGCGGACCUCAUAAAGUAUGUCGUAGUCCGGAUUGGAGUCUGCAACUCGACUCCAUGAAGUCGGAAUCGCUAGUAAUCGUAGAUCAGAAUGCUACGGUGAAUACGUUCCCGGGCCUUGUACACACCGCCCGUCACACCAUGGGAGUGGGUUGCAAAAGAAGUAGGUAGCUUAACCUUCGGGAGGGCGCUUACCACUUUGUGAUUCAUGACUGGGGUGA
rnacentral:rRNA from 1 species